rnacentral:rRNA from 1 species
GUCCUAGCUGUAAACGAUGGGCACUGGGCAGGGGGAUACCUAUGCUCCUCUCUGCCGGAGCUAAUGUGUUAAGUGCCCCGCCUGGGGAGUACGCUCGCAAGGGUAAAACUCAAAGAAAUUGACGGGGGCUCACACAAGCGGUGGAGCAUGUGGUUCAAUUCGAAGCAACGCGAAGAACCUUACCUGGCUUUGACAUGCACGAAUUAGUUCUAUGAAAGUAGAAUGACAGCCCUUCGGGGUCGGAACGUGCACAGGUGUUGCAUGGCUGUCGU